rnacentral:rRNA from 1 species
UACGAAGGGGGCUAGCGUUGCUCGGAAUCACUGGGCGUAAAGCGCACGUAGGCGGAUUGUUAAGUCAGGGGUGAAAUCCUGGAGCUCAACUCCAGAACUGCCUUUGAUACUGGCGAUCUCGAGUCCGGGAGAGGUGAGUGGAACUGCGAGUGUAGAGGUGAAAUUCGUAGAUAUUCGCAAGAACACCAGUGGCGAAGGCGACUUACUGGACACAUAUUGACGCUGAGGUGCGAAAGCGUGGGGAGCAAACAGG